AUCUGAGAAGAUCUUUAAAAGACCAAGAACAAAAACUGAAAACUGGCAAUGAAGAAGAAAAUGUAUUUGUUCCACUACCAUGACUAAGGGAUAGGAAGCAAGUGACGGUUAGCUGUGUGAAUCGAAGUGCUUCGUCGAGCGUUAAGGCUUUGAGGAGACAAUCAUUGAGAAUGUCAUCAAUGAAGUCCAUGAAUUUAUUGUAAUUUUUGUGGUCAUAUUUUUCCAGAAUGGCAGUAUAAUUAGCAAUGUGAAAUUGUAACAUGGAAGAUGCGUAUACUAUAUGUCCAAGCAGAUCUAAUUGCUUACUGUCCUUGUCGGAUGGGGUAGAGCG